rnacentral:rRNA from 1 species
UACAGAGGGGGCAAGCGUUGUUCGGAUUUACUGGGCGUAAAGAGCGCGCAGGCGGUCGAUCAAGUCGCGUGUGAAAGCCCCCGGCUCAACUGGGGAGGGUCACGCGAUACUGUUCGACUCGAAGGCAGGAGAGGGUAGUGGAAUUCCCGGUGUAGUGGUGAAAUGCGUAGAUAUCGGGAGGAACACCAGUGGCGAAGGCGACUACCUGGCCUGUUCUUGACGCUGAGGCGCGAAAGCUAGGGUAGCAAACGGG